UCGAGCCCCACCUUGAUACUGGCUUGGU
rnacentral:sRNA from 1 species